AGCAAUCAGCAUCAGGUGAGGUGGUGAGCAUACGAACAAGUGUUAGAGAGAGAUGAUUUUGUGAGUGGAGAGGGGAGAGGAGACAGGGAUGGAGCAGAGCAAGGGAUGGGGCAAGCAACAAACCUCACUUCCUUCCACUCAGCAUCACCUGAUUAGUAUGGUUUAUGAGAAGAGCGAGAGAGUUGUGAGAGAUGGGAGCUUCUGUAGUAGUUGUUGUUGCUCCCUCCCUGCACUGCCUCUUCCCUGGCUCCCCUCCGAUCUCUAUCUCCCUCUCCCUCUCCUUCUCUUGCAGUCUUGCUAUUUUCUGUCCCUGUUAUCGGUGGCUCCCAUUCUUCUGCUUAUUCUUCAGUUUUGCAGGCUCCUUUGUUUGUUCCUGCUCAACUUCUCUUUUACCUGCUCUGACGACGCCAUUGCACUUGCAUUGCUUCCAUUCCACAAGUCGCCGAAAGCUGUUUCGUUCAGAUAAAUGCUUCGAACAUGUUCAUUGCUCAGAUACAGGGAGGAGGCCGGCAAGCUAAGCUGCUAAGGGGAGUACAAUCUUUCUCGUUGCGCUUCCACUCCAGCGUCCUCUUCCUCCAACAAGCUCGUUGACACAUGCCUCUACGGUUGCGACAAUAAUAUACCAUGGCGGCAUCUUUGGAGGAGUCCCCAUGUAUGCCAUAUGAAAUGUUCGAAAGGGGCGCAAUCGUCAGACUUUUCUGUUGGACCUCCUUCGACACUUGAAGGUGUCAAUGCAUAAGUCGGUGACUGCUAGCAGAACUCUCAUCAAUGCAGAGAUUUUUCGUUCGGUUUUUCUUGUACAUCAACUCUGUUUUUUCAUCUGCUGUUCAAAAAGCGAGAAAAAAGAGUUGGGAACCGUUCACCAGAAAGAAAGAAUGAGCAUGCAUUCAACAAAUUUACUUCA